rnacentral:rRNA from 1 species
AACGAACGCUGGCGGCAGGCCUAACACAUGCAAGUCGAACGCCGUAGCAAUACGGAGUGGCAGACGGGUGAGUAACGCGUGGGAACAUACCCCUCGGUUCGGAAUAACUCAGGGAAACUUGAGCUAAUACCGGAUACGUCCGAUGUUUUAAUCGACCUUGGAGAAAGAUUUAUCGCCGGAGGAUUGGCCCGCGUCUGAUUAGCUUGUUGGUGAGGUAAUGGCUCACCAAGGCGACGANCAGUAGCUGGUCUGAGAGGAUGAUCAGCCACAUUGGGACUGAGACACGGCCCAAACUCCUACGGGAGGCAGCAGUGGGGAAUAUUGGACAAUGGGCGAAAGCCUGAUCCAGCCAUGCCGCGUGAGUGAUGAAGGCCUUAGGGUUGUAAAGCUC